rnacentral:rRNA from 1 species
CAGCCGCCACGGGAAAACGUAGGUGGCAAGCGUUGUCCGGAAUUACUGGGCGUAAAGCGUGCGCAGGCGGUUAUAUAAGUCAGAUGUGAAAUCCCCGGGCUCAACCUGGGAACUGCAUUUGAGACUGUAUGGCUAGAGUGUGUCAGAGGGGGGUAGAAUUCCACGUGUAGCAGUGAAAUGCGUAGGUAUGUGGAGGAAUACCGAUGGCGAAGGCAGCCCCCUGGGAUAACACUGACGCUCAUGCACGAAAGCGUGGGGAGCAAACAGGAUUAGAGACCCGCGUAGUCCCUGUCUCUUAUAC